rnacentral:lncRNA from 1 species
CUAACAGUUCCUCCCUCUUCAAAUCAGUCUUGUCCUCAAGGUUGAGCAGCAUCAAUCUUGGGAAGCUUGUCUUUUAGCACUUCAGUCAUAGGGUAUCUGCAACGCAUCACAACCCGUUGAUCAAGUAAUUAUGGUCUCCACUUUUUGACAGUGUAAGCAAUAGGUCGAUCUUUCAGUGUAGUAAUUGUUGUAAGAAAUUCCUGGCCUUUGCUA